AGAAUCAACGCUGGCGGCGUGCCUAACACAUGCAAGUCGCACGAGAAAGGGUAGCAAUACCUGAGUACAGUGGCGCACGGGUGAGUAACACGUGAAUAAUCUACCUCCGAGUGGGGAAUAACUGAGAGAAAUCUUAGCUAAUACCGCAUAACACUUACGAGUCAAAGCAGCAAUGCGCUUGGAGAGGAGUUCGCGGCAGAUUAGUUAGUUGGCGGGGUAAUGGCCCACCAAGACGAUGAUCUGUAUCCGGCCUGAGAGGGCGCACGGGACACACUGGAACUGAAACACGGUCCAGACUCCUACGGGAGGCAGCAGUGGGGAAUUUUGCGCAAUGGGGGAAACCCUGACGCAGCAACGCCGCGUGGAGGAUGGAAAUCCCUUGGGAUGUAAACUCCUUUCGAUCGGGAAGAUAAUGACGGUACCGAGAGAAGAAGCCCCGGCUAACUUCGCGCCAGCAGCCGC
rnacentral:rRNA from 1 species